rfam:Fulmarus glacialis contig15907, whole genome shotgun sequence.
GUGCAUGCUGGCCUAUAAUUUAUGAAACGGAGCCUGGGAAACAACCAAUCGCUUAGCUCCUCCUAACAAGUCCAACUGGCUGUGAAAAGCUGGAAGUGCUGCACAGAACAAUGAAGAGGAGAUAUCCCACAUAUUAAUCUGCUUAUCUACAAUUGCUUUCUGUGUGGAGAGAGGGAAGCGUGUACCAAGGAGAGAAAAAAAUGUAAGAAAAAUCACAGCUUCACUGUUGAAACAACAGAAUAAACUUCGAUCAACAGGCAAAUCUUCCAUUGCAGUCCGAUGGU